AGUGAACGCUGGCGGUAGGCCUAACACAUGCAAGUCGAACGGCAGCACAGUAAGAGCUUGCUCGUACGGGUGGCGAGUGGCGGACGGGUGAGGAAUACAUCGUAAUCUACUUUUUCGUGGGGGAUAACGUAGGGAAACUUACGCUAAUACCGCAUACGACCUACGGGUGAAAGCAGGGGAUCUUCGGACCUUGCGCGAUUGAAUGAGCCGAUGUCGGAUUAGCUAGUUGGCGGGGUAAAGGCCUACCAAGGCGACGAUCCGUAGCUGGUCUGAGAGGAUGAUCAGACACACUGGAACUGAGACACGGUCCAGACUCCUACGGGAGGCAGCAGUGGGGAAUAUUGGACAAUGGGCGCAAGCCUGAUCCAGCCAUACCGCGUGGGUGAAGAAGGCCUUCGGGUUGUAAAGCACUUUUGUUGGGAAAGAAAAGCAGCAGGUUAAUACCCCGCUGUUCUGACGGUACCCAAAGAAUAAGCACCGGCUAACUUCGUG
rnacentral:rRNA from 1 species